GGAGCGAGAUCGACAGCAGCGAGAACGAGUAGCGAAUGGUGUGUUGUCCUGGCUGUUACUGCUUCCCGAUCUCGCUUGCUCGCUCUAAUUCGUAAUCCAAGCCUAGAGAAGCCUGGCGAAGAGCCUCCUAUCGCGAGGAUCUAAAACGUCUUGCGCGAAAAUUUCAAGCGUUCUUACGGGAUAUAAAGGCAAACGUAAGCAGAUUUAUGUAGUCAUAGUACAUAGAAAACCAAAACACAAGCUCCGUCCUACAAACUAACCGACGCGAGGGGCACCGGGAGUCAGGCAUUCGCUCCACCUGUAUCCCUCCCACUUUCCAGAUUCUGUGUUAUCAUUGGCUAAGUUACGCGAUGGAUAGAAGACGCGAUUAGGUGGAGCGCGGGCCACCGCUUCCCCUUGCCCCGCGCACCGUUACUUCGGUGGACCGGCCGACCGAAUCCGCUUGCCACUUAGGUAGAUUGGUUUGUGGACGGAGGCUCGUCUUUUUGUUUUCCGAUAUUACAACGAUAUUCGCCGGCAAAAUGCGGAGGAAAGGUAAAAUGAUUUUUCAAUUUGAACAGAAUAUCUCGAUAGCGGAAAGGAGAGAACAAACCGCAGAUUUGUUAGAGAAAUUAGUCCCUUGACUGACGAUUUGAGUUUCGAGAACGUGUGCCAAAAACAAUAACAAGCAACCUGAGACGUCCGAUAGCCGAAAGACACCACGUGGUCUGGACAGUUUGGGAAGAGAAGAUAGGAUUAUUCGAUCUUUUGAACUGCUGCAAUGACCUGUCGCAAACCAUUCUGGGGCUACGCUGCGGCUAUGAAGAACUUCAAGGCCACUUCAUCUAAGACGUAAAGGGCGAAGUAUGGUAGUAACUACAGUAGAGAGGCAGGGACGUGAACCGAUGGACCAACCCUUUGUCGCCGACCGUACGCUGUGCUUGUACAAUGCAAUUAGCGACCAAUCAAGGAAAAUGGUAUCGCGUGUCAUUUCCUCGGACGGCCGAAGGGCGAGCGACCAGGGCUCGCGACGAGGCCUGGGUUUUUAGUUGGCCGAAUCGAAUUAUUUAUUUUGCGAGCCGGAGCAAAAGGCGCUCUGUCACACGUUUUAGUCGGCGGAACGUUUUCUCCCGAGCGGCAGCGACAAAUAAACGAUUACGAAGGAUCUCGAUCUCAAAUUUUCAAGUCCAACCUACCAGAGGACGAUUCUAAAUGGAGAAAUAAGACGAAAAGGAAGAGUAACAUUUUUUCAUUUAAGACUGCGUUUUCGAGAAAAAUCAGUGCAAAGAUCUGUCAGGUAGAAUCGUCAUUCCAUGCUGAUGUCAUGUCACGCGAAGACAUAGUAUGUUUGCUUACUAUAAACGUUACAAGCGACGCUGUGUUUGGACUACAAAGAAUUACGUACCGUCGAAACCGUUCGUGGAGCCACGUGCACGAAAUCAGACGUAACGAGACGGUCGCGCGCGGCAAUUUCAUCCCGUAAAAAUAAUUCUCGCCCGUGGGUAUUUUUCUGCCGGGCGGAUAUUACGUUUUCAAACGUUCUCCGAUAUCGAUUGAAUUUGUCCGAGGCAAAUAUGAAAUAAUCCUUAAGCAAACACCGAUACGCGGGUUACGUCAAUAUGCGCGAUUAAUAUCCGCCGAAAGGUUUGUUUAGAUGCGAAAAGUAAACGUAAUACCCGUUUCAAAUUGUCGAAAACAAUGAACACGCGAUAAAAGUUAUUACAGCCCGGCCGGUGCGCGUGGCAGAACGUUUCCAGCCGAAAAAUCUAAUUAACCCUUCGCGCUGCGACCACGUCUGCGAGACGUGGCCGGAUCAUCGGGCCGUGAGAGACGUGAUCGAAGAAUAGAGCCAGAAAUGAUUACCACGUCUGAGAGACGUGGUCGAUACAUACAUUAGUCGAUACAUUCUAGUUAUGAUCUAGUAGACUGGGGCCACUCUAUCAUCUAGAAAAAAAUUCAAGCCGUUUAGUCCAGUUCCAAAAAACGUUAUCGCGCCUUGAAAAUUGCCCGAUCAUUAACGGGUGUCACCGUAUGUAUUUACAUUCUGUAAAAAGUUCACGAUUGACACAACUUCAGACAUGGUUUCCGCGCAACCAUGAAAGGGAGGCUGGACGCGUGACCGACCUUGUUGUUGUUGUUUGUAGCACACGUUCUUGGAACAUAAAUCGUAGGGCAAAGGGUCAAAAGCAGAAGAUGUUUUUUAACGUUCACCAACGCUAAAUUAUAUGUCAAUCAGGCGUUCGCAAAAGUCAAAGGAUCUCUCUUUCAAGCGGAGUAAUUGCUUUGUCACUCGCAUGUUCCGUUUCUAAAAUAAAUUGAACAGUAUCCGAAAAGAUUGGCAGAUUUCCGGGGUUCUUUUAUUUACCGUGGCGGCCGCUGCGACGACGGGCCACGGUAUCGCAUUAAAUAAACAAGAGACGCAGCGACGCAAACUUGCAGGCUCCGCGACCCUUUGUCGCCGACGGUAGCCUGCGCUUUUACAAUGUAAUUAACCGCCGUUCAAGGAAAAUGGUAUCGCGUGUCAUUUCCUCGGACGGCCGAAGAGCGAGCGACCAGGGCUCGCGACGAGGCCUGGGUUUUUAGUUGGCCGAAUCGAAUUAUUUGUUUUGCGAGCCGGAGCAAGGCGCUCUGUCACACGUUUUAGUCGGCGGAACGUUUUCUCCCGAGCGGCAGCGACAAAUAAACGAUUACGAAGGUACAAGCCUCGGUCGUUUUCCUUACACUCGCGUUUAAUUCAACCAUUUUUCAAUCAUGGUUCUCAAUCCUGUAUUCAAUUGAUGUUACCGAUGUUGUUCAUGUUAUUCGAAAAACUCCACAGAAUUCUACUAUACGAAUUAGUACUGUAUCAUAAUUACUGCUGCAGCGUUAAACGUGUUUAAAAAUUUUCUUGUGAAACCAAUUUUUCUUGAAAAGUGCACAUGCGAAAUUAAAGAAAAUAUGAGCAGAUUCGUAUUUAGCUCGUUGAUAUUUAUUAUCAAUAUUUAUUUAAAAUCGCAAGUUCUGUUUCUUUUCACAACUUUCCAGCUCUUGUCUAGCUGCGUGCAACAUUUUGAAACACUGUGCACCGCAGUAAUAUAACUCUCUUCGAUUUAGGGUCUGUCAAUGUUCAUCACAAUGCUUGAUAUACAUUUAAAAAAAGACGCUUCGCUUUUAGGGAUAAUUAUUUACUUCAGGGACUUUCCGAUUUCAAUGACCUUGCAGUAUGUUGUCACUUUGUGUUUACACUCCCCCUCUUACCAGCUGCCUCACCGCCGCAGGUCCUUCGCGGUCAGACGGAAAGUAGAAAUUAAUAUCGGCGCUGUUACCGCGCGAACGCGUUCAUCGGAGGGCUUCAGUGACAUGACAAUUAUUGCAUUUCGCCUGAUUAAAGUCACCGAUGAACGAUCGUAUGCUAAUCGACGAGGUAGCCGUGCAAUUUAAUUUUUAGACCCGCCGACGGACGCGAUGCGUCGAAUUAAACCUGUCCGAUGAGGUAUCGCGGCGUGAAACAUCGCGCGCGGGGACAUUAAUCGCGUUACAUUUCUCCCGCGCAAAUGCCCGGCCUAAUAAUUCUACCCUUUCGCAUAAAACCGAUUAUGUAUAGCGCGGGAGAGCCCCGCUCGUUGACAAUUUUCAGAAACGAAUCGCGAAAAAUUAGAUUUUCGAUCCGAAUCAAAUGUUAAUUUGAUAUCUACCGAUCGUUGAAAGCGGAAAUAUACUUUUUAACCUAACCGAAAUUAUUGUUCUCGCUCGAGGAGCCUAAACUGUAUCUGCUAACUUAUUUACAGCCUUUCUUUCUUAGAUAAAAUAAUUAUAAACGAAUAAGAAUUAUUAUAAAGAAUUUAAUAAUUAUUGAUAAAAUAGUGAAAUUUUCAUAAUAUACGAUGGAUUCGAUACGUUCAAAUUUAUUAUUUAUCGUAUUUGAACAUUGUGGGAAUAAUUUGAAACGUUAGAAAACAAUUAUUAUUAUUAUUAUUAUUAUUAUUUACAAGUAAUAGGAAGCAAUAAAAUAUAACUUAGUGAUUAUAAAAAGUUUUGUGAUACAUGCGAGAACCAUAGAACAAUUUGAUUUUUAUUAAAAUUGAUUUACGCUGCUA